UUUCUUCAUUUGACUUCCCAAAAUUUAAUUAUGUUUGUGAAUUUGCCUUCGAAUCUUGCAUUUCUCCCCCCUCUGUCUUUCAGAGUAAAGUUGGUUUUUUCUCUUUAUUGAAACUCACUUUCAGCUUCCAGGUUACUUUUUACUCCUGUGGACUUUUAGUCUUGUACCUGAAGGGAGUAUUGUGUAUUUUGUAUAGUGCAUUGAUAGCUGGAAACAAUAGAGUCCCUAUUAGCCAAUUAAACCUGGCAAGAUAUGGACUGGUGCCCAGGCUCUAGGACCGUUUGAUCUACACACGUGGUACAUACCCUUUGAACUUAAGAGAAUUCUCUGCUUCUUAACCCAACUGCCUCAUUGUUUGUGUUGAAUGGGGCAGGGAAUAGACAUGGUGGGGAACAUGGCUGAAUAAGAGAAAUCUUCUGAAGAAAUAUAAGAUGCUCAUCCAGAAUCGUAGGAUACUUUGCUUACCAUGAAAGGACAAACAUACUCAUAAUUAUGGUUUGCUCUUUCUUCUCAGAAUGCUUUCAUAUUCCCUGUUCACCUAAAAUUCGGGUCACCUACUGGAGAACACCACGUCACAAACACUCGAAUGUGUUUGACUGUGUGCUUAGGAAAGGGUGGUCAGUGCAUACCGACCAUACCAGCAAACACAUUUCACCUCGGGGGCUCUCUUCCAAACCCUUCAGGAAGUCAAUGGGAGCUUUGUGUAAACAGGAAGGAUGCUGCUUUAUUUCCCUAUUGCUUGAACCAGAAAAGAAAUCCUUGUUCUUUGUGAAUGUCCUGUGUUCUUUGGAAGAGCAAAGCACCAUUCAACACCAAAGCUGGCCAUUGGGAUUCUCAUAUUCUUAG
rnacentral:lncRNA from 12 species